rnacentral:lncRNA from 1 species
CUUCCGGUAGCGCGCGAGGGCCUGCACGUGGGUCGUGGUUCGACCCGGCGCGCUCUGGUCCGCGGGUGGAAGGGCCUCGCAGCCGUCUCCUGGAAGCUCUGCCGGGGACACGCGUGGGCGCGCGCGGCCUCCUUAGCGGUCCAGAGCCUGCGCUGCCAGUAGUACGCGCGCCCCAUGGCUGUGUGGGGCCCCACGCGCCCUCCUCGCCGCGCGGCUUCUUGCUUCCGCCCCGCGCUUCUCCAGCCUGCCUUCGGUGCCCGCUUCCUGCCCGCGCCCUUGGAACCGCUGGUGUCUGUGCGUUCACAGGCAGGGUCGUGCUACGUGGCCCGGGCCCCCAAAGCGCCGCGACUGCAGGCGCGCCCACCGCGCCGGGCUGAAUUUCCGAGAUGUUCUUGUCCUGCUUCCUCACUGCUGCUUCCUUCUUUCUCUGGUUCUGGGUCUUUAGCUUGAUUCCACAUCCCCCACCUCUAGGCCCACAGCCUGCUGAAAAGUCCUAUAGGCGACUGUCAGAAACGAGGUUUACACCCUCAGUCUACACAAGAAAGCAAAACGAUAUUGAAUAAACGAAUACACG